UACGAAGGGGGCUAGCGUUGCUCGGAAUUACUGGGCGUAAAGGGCGCGUAGGCGGACAGUUUAGUCAGAGGUGAAAGCCCAGGGCUCAACCUUGGAAAUGCCUUUGAUACUGGCUGUCUUGAGUUCGGGAGAGGUGAGUGGAAUGCCGAGUGUAGAGGUGAAAUUCGUAGAUAUUCGGCGGAACACCAGUGGCGAAGGCGACUCACUGGCCCGAUACUGACGCUGAGGCGCGAAAGCCAGGGGAGCGAACGGG
rnacentral:rRNA from 1 species